GGGGAGGGAGGCAAUUUUACAUCUUUGGGAGGCAACAUAUACAAAACCCUAAGCCUAAAUCCAUCACUUACCCAAACAGCCGCCCCCACCCAUCCAGCAUCCGUCCCCUCAACUCUCACCCACACAGCCGCUCCUUUCCCUGGCUGAAACCAGAGAAACAAAGGCAGCCCCGGCAUCUCUCUGCGUCCCACUCUCCCGUGGCCUACUACCAUCCUCAACCGUUCCUUCUCCCAAACACAGCUGCCCCCUUAGCCGAUUCUCUCACCCUAGACAACCCCAACAACAGUCGCCACCCUCACAAACCUGGCGACUCUUAGCUUCUCUUCAAUCGGCCACAAACCCACGGUCACCCUAUCAGCCACCGUGAACAGCCACCUCCAGCAUUUCCUUCCCUCAACAACAGCACCAGCACCGACACCCACCAAUCUAUCCAUUCCUCCACCUCAACACCGCCAGCAAGCUCAUCUCCACCGCGACUUCAGCGGCCACGGAUGACAGCCACCAAAUCAGAGGAAGGAGAAGACCGAGAACCAGCCGACCACCGUUGCCACCAACAGGAGUGAAGACCGUCAACGCAGCGACCAACACCGACAGCUCCCCCCACAACCGUCGGCCAUCUAAAACAGAAGAAGAGGAAACAAAAACAAUAUGCAGAGAGGAGCAGAUCUGAAAAUGAGAAGGGAGAGAAGCAGAUCUAGACUAAAAUGGAUUGAAAUCGACUGUUUGUUGGGGUUUUGUUCUUUUGCAGGUGACAGUGUGUGUCACCACCGUCAGAGAAGGGAAAAGGAAAGGAAGCUGAGCCAGACCCACCCGUUUUUCGGCCUUUCUCGCGGUGGCGCGUGAACCCACGCGCCGCCAAUGGCGGGGGCGCGUGGGAAGACGCGCCGCCACUGUUCCUGCGGUUCCAGAAGGACUUCCCUGCAAUUCCUGGAGUUUUUAGGGGCUGUUUUUGUAAUUUUAAAUUGUUUAAUGUAAUUUUUUUUGUUUAGUUUUGAAUUUUGAUAAUUUGUAAUGUGGAUGUUAAAAAAGAAAAGAAAAGGAAAAAAGAGAAAAGAGAAAAAAAAUAUAGUGAAAGUGAAUGUGUUGUUUGUAUUUUUUAUGAAUAUAUUUUUUAUGAUAAAAUUGCAAAGAUUAAAGAAGAAUUUAAUAUUUUGAUUUGCUUACGGUCCAGAAUUAUUAACUUAUACGUAAGUUGUAUUUCUAAUAUCC
rnacentral:lncRNA from 1 species